UACGUAGGUGGCAAGCGUUGUCCGGAUUUACUGGGCGUAAAGCGUGCGCAGGCGGCUUUGCAAGACAGAUGUGAAAUCCCCGGGCUCAACCUGGGAACUGCAUUUGUGACUGCAUGGCUAGAGUACGGUAGAGGGGGAUGGAAUUCCGCGUGUAGCAGUGAAAUGCGUAGAUAUGCGGAGGAACACCGAUGGCGAAGGCAAUCCCCUGGACCUGUACUGACGCUCAUGCACGAAAGCGUGGGGAGCAAACAGG
rnacentral:rRNA from 1 species